CGAGACCCAAGUCUGCGAGAGAAUGAGGGGAAAGAAAAGAUGACUGAAGUAGAAGAAUGAAGAGUCACUACAGGAAUCCUGGAGAAUAGACGGAUCAUGCAAGUGGAGCAGCCAAGAAAUUGCAAGAUAAAGAGAAAAUGAGUCGUGCCCAUGGACUCUCCCGAUCAACAAGAACUUGUUCUGCCUGGCAACAGAGCGCUCAGUGUUCAGCUACUUGUAACGCAAGGCUUUUCGAAGGGACGCUUUGGGAAGCGCCGGACCUUGUAAAAGAAGAAGAAGAAGAAGAAGAAGCAGAGUCGCCGCUGUCCCCAAUGAAGGAGCCGGACGCCAUCAAGCUCUUCGUCGGCCAGAUCCCUCGCAAUCUGGAGGAGAAGGACCUCAAGCCUAUCUUCGAGCAGUUUGGCAAGAUCUACGAACUGACUGUGAUCAAGGACAAGUACACGGGCAUGCACAAAGGAUGCGCGUUCUUGACGUACUGUGCCAGAGAGUCCGCACUGAAAGCCCAAAAUGCGUUACACGAGCAGAAGACAUUGCCAGGGAUGAACCGACCCAUUCAGGUGAAGCCAGCAGACAGCGAGGGCCGUGGAGACAGGAAGCUGUUUGUGGGAAUGCUGGGGAAGCAGCAGUCGGACACCGACGUGAGAAAGAUGUUCGAGCCUUUCGGCAGUAUAGAGGAGUGUACUGUGCUCAGAGGACCAGACGGAGCCAGCAAAGGUUGUGCGUUUGUGAAAUACCAGAGCAACGCAGAGGCCCAAGCGGCCAUUAACGCUCUUCAUGGCAGCCGCACUCUGCCGGGAGCCUCUUCCAGUCUUGUGGUGAAGUUUGCAGACACAGAGAAGGAGCGGGGCAUCAGGCGCAUGCAGCAGGUUGCCUCUCAGCUGGGCGUCAUCAGCCCCAUGAGCCUCCACCUGGGGGCCUACAACGCUUACACACAGGCUCUGGUCCAGCAACAGGCUUUGGUGGCUCAGUCGGCCUAUCUGUCUCCCGUGGCAACGGUUGCUGCGGUGCAGAUGCAGCAGUUGGCUGCUCUUAACCCAAGCAGCAUCAUAGCGACACCCAUCGCGUCAAUCACCCCAUCCUCAGGUGCGAGCACACCUCCUGCUAUUGCUGCCACACCAGUGCCUACUCUUCCACCAAUUGCAGUCAACAGUUACUCGGCCGUUCCUGCCCCACCCAGCGGGCAAUCAGCCUCUGAAACACUGUACACCAACGGCGUCCACCAAUAUCAAGCUCAGAGCCCUGCCUUGGAUCCUCUUCAGCAGGCGUACACUGGAAUGCAGCAUUACACUGCCACAUAUCCUGCUGCGUAUGGUUUGGUUGGUCAGCCGUUCCCACAUCAGCCCACGCUAGUUGCUCAGCAAACCCAACAGCCUCAGCAGCUGCAGCAGCGAGAAGGUCCAGAGGGAUGUAAUAUCUUCAUCUAUCACCUGCCACAGGAGUUCACCGACUCUGAGAUGCUGCAGAUGUUUCUGCCCUUCGGCAACGUCAUCUCAGCCAAGGUUUUCGUCGACCGCGCAACCAAUCAGAGCAAAUGCUUCGGUUUUGUAAGCUUCGACAACCCCGCCAGCGCUCAGACUGCCAUCCAGGCCAUGAAUGGAUUUCAGAUUGGCAUGAAAAGACUGAAAGUGCAGCUGAAAAGGCCCAAAGAUGCCAACCGCCCAUACUAACAUGGCCAGGUGAGAGAGAGUGAGAGAGACAGAAAAAGAGAUGGGGGGUUGAAAGAGCAUCAGUGCAGGCAGUUCUGACUUAUUAGACCAGAAGUACUGUAUCUUAACGAUAGAGUAAAACAUGAUUACAGAAUAAAACGGGCUCUCGGCCUCCAUGAUGAUUUGAACUAAACGUAUCACGACGAGGAACAGGUUCUCAAAGCAGUUCUAGACUGAUGAUUAGACUACGCAGUAUAUUUGAAGGGAAUGUAUUAUGAACUGAGUGUAAUGUGUUUAGAAAUGCUUUAAAGUGAACAAGACAAUAAUCAGUUGAUUAAUUUUUACUUUUCAUUUAUUUUUUUUGUUUUUGUGCUGUGUCAUCGCUCAUUCUCCUGAAAUCAAACAAACAAACAAACAAACAAACAAACCUCAUCCCCACCCAAGGCUGCCCUGGCCAAUCAUAACUCGUGCGGAGACUACGUCGCUAUGGCUGCGGUGGCCAUAGCAACCAAUAAAGCUUCCCCCUUCCUGUCACAGCGGUUGUUGUCAAAAAAAUUAACAAAAAGAAGACGACUGAAGAAGUUGGUUUGGAGAAAAAAAAACAAAAAACAAAAUUUCCUCAGCUGUAAAUUAAUUAUGGGACCAACUGCUCAUUUUAAAAACCUGCUACAAAAGAACACUGAAUCAAAUAUAUACAUUUAACAGAUUUAACACUAACCCGCUGCACAAGACUUGGGUUAAUAAUAUACAUUUACAGCCUCGUCAGUAUACAGCAUAAUGACCAAUAACUGUUUAUAGGCACAUUGUUGUACAGCUAAUAACCGGCUCCACACUAUUCCUGCAAUGUCACACUCCUUUCAUGCACACUAUUUAAAAGUGUGUGUGUGUAUGUAUGUAUGUGUGUAUGUGUGUGUGCGUGUGUGUCUGAGUGUUUAGGAGUUUGGAGGGAAGGCUCCAUCUGGCCUUGAACUGAAACUGCACAUAAAAUGGGACCAACAUCAUUGUGUAAUAGCUGCACAGCAAGGCCUUUUGUGUGUGUGUGUGUGUGUGUGUGUGUGUGUGUGUGUGUGUGUGUGUUUUCUUCUGCUGGUUUGUGCUUACUGCACACUAUGGGGAUCUACUCAGCACCAGUUAUGUGUAUAUAGAAAUUUAUUUGGGCUAUGUGAAGGCAUAUCAGUGGAGAGGGAGGUGGGAGGGGAGGUGUGGGGUAAUUCGGGUGGGUUUUUCAAGUAAUUUAAGCUCAAAAGUGCAGAGCAUCAUGGGUAUGUUAGCUAGGGAAGAAGGACCGAAAAUGACUGAAUAUUGUCCCUCAUGGUCAGGCUGUAGUUAGAUUUUACAUUUCCAGAUAGGAUGAUUUGAUGGGAAAAUGUAAUGAGCAAAUAGAGUGGAAAUCAUUUUAAAAAUUUAUUUGUAUUUCAUUGUAUAUAUCAUGGUUUGAAAAUUGAGGUUAAGAUUAUUAUUAUUAUUAUUAUUAUUAUUAUUAUUAUUAUUAUUAUUAUUAUCUCCUUAUCUAAUUUUUCUAAUCUUUUUUUUUUUCAAUAAUUAAUUAACUUAUUGAUUUCCAGAUUUUUUUUUAAAUUAUUAUUAUUUAUGAAGCUUUUAUGAAGGUUCACUGGCACAUGUGUGCAGGAGUUAAAUUAUUUUUUAGAUCUUUUAUUUACAGAAUAACAAUUGAGGAACAAUCAUUAAUAUUUAAUAUUUAUUUAUUUUCUUCAGCCAUUGUUUCCUAACCUGUCAAUUACAAGAAAAAAAAUAAAAGUUUUAAAUAACUGGU